CCAUCUGCUAAGUGUGCUACAUGCCUAAUGCU
rnacentral:piRNA from 1 species